GACAGAGGGGGCAAGCGUUGUUCGGAAUUACUGGGCGUAAAGCGCGCGUAGGCGGCUUGGCAAGUCGGGUGUGAAAUCCCCGGGCUUAACCUGGGACCUGCAUUCGAAACUGUCUUGCUAGAGUAUGGGAGAGGGAAGUGGAAUUUCAGGUGUAGCGGUGAAAUGCGUAGAUAUCGGAAGGAACAUCAGUGGCGAAAGCGACUUCCUGGACCAGUACCGACGUUCAGGCACGAAAGCGUGGGGAGCAAACAGG
rnacentral:rRNA from 1 species